rnacentral:rRNA from 1 species
UACAGAGACUGCAAGCGUUAUUCGGAUUCACUGGGCGUAAAGGGUGCGUAGGCGGCGGGGCAAGUCUGAUGUGAAAUCCCGGGGCUCAACCCCGGAACUGCAUUGGAUACUGCCUUGCUCGAGUACUGGAGAGGGAACUGGAAUUUACGGUGUAGCAGUGAAAUGCGUAGAGAUCGUAAGGAAGGCCAGUGGCGAAGGCGAGUUCCUGGACAGUUACUGACGCUGAGGCACGAAGGCCAGGGGAGCAAACGGG